rnacentral:rRNA from 1 species
AGUGAACGCUGGCGGUAUGCCUAACACAUGCAAGUCGAACGGCAGCACAGUAAGAGCUUGCUCUUACGGGUGGCGAGUGGCGGACGGGUGAGGAAUACAUCGGAAUCUACUUUUUCGUGGGUGAUAACGUAGGGAAACUUACGCUAAUACCGCAUACGUCCUACGGGUGAAAGCAGUGGAUCUUCGGACCUUGCGCGAUUGAAUGAGCCGAUGUCGCAUUAGCUAGUUGGCGAGGUAAAGGCCUACCAAGGCGACGAUCCGUAGCUGGUCUGAGAGGAUGAUCAGCCACACUGGAACUGAGACACGGUCCAGACUCCUACGGGAGGCAGCAGUGGGGAAUCUUGCGCAAUGGGCGCAAGCCUGAUCCAGCCAUACCGCGUGGGUGAAGAAGGCCUUCGGGUUGUAAAGCCCUUUUGUUGGGAAAGAAAAGCAGCAGGUUAAUAUCCCGCUGUUCUGACGGUACCCAAAGAAUAAGCACCGGCUAACUUCGUG